UACGUAGGCAGCAAGCGUUGUUCGGAGUUACUGGGCGUAAAGAGUAUGUAGGCGGUUUGGCAAGUUCGGUGUGAAAUCUCCCGGCUUAACCGGGAGGGUGCGCCGAAAACUGCCGGGCUGGAGUGCGGGAGAGGAGAGCGGAAUUCCUGGUGUAGCGGUGAAAUGCGUAGAUAUCAGGAGGAACACCGGUGGUGAAGACGGCUCUCUGGACCGUUACUGACGCUGAGAUACGAAAGCGUGGGGAGCAAACAGG
rnacentral:rRNA from 1 species